AUGAGAGCUUUAUUCUGGAAUAUUCGUGGUUUCGGUGCUAGGGAGCGCCGUGACCAGAUUCAUGACUUGGUUUGUGGUGAACAUAUUGACAUUUUAGGGUUGGUCGAAACGUUUAAGGAAUCCUUUUCCCCUUCUGAACUCUCUGCGAUAGCUGGGAUGGAUAGGUUUGAUUGGCACUUUCUCCCUGCCUCGGGUCAUUCUGGGGGAAUCUUGAUUGGGUCCAAGCGGGACGUUUUUGAUCUCAUUGCUUUUGAUCAUGGAAUCUUUUGGGCUAGCUCUGUGGUUCAUCAUCGUCAGCUCAACACUCUGUGGGAAUUUAUGGUGGUAUACGGUCCUGCGGAUCACACGCUUGCUCCUCUCUUUUUGGAUGAACUGUCGAUUAAGAUUGAAGCUUGUAAUAUUCCUCUUUUAAUUGGGGGUGAUUUCAAUUUGUUACGUUCUCCGGCCGACAAGAACAAUCUAAUUUCUCCUGGCCUCUUGCCAAUGCUUUUAAUGAUUUCAUUAGUAAUUGCAUGCUUCGUGAGCUCCCUAGGGUGGGGGCACGUUUCACCUGGUCUAAUCAUCAGUCCUCGCCUGUCCGGUCGGUGCUGGACAGGGUUUUUGUUUCUGAUCAAUGGGAUUCGCUGUUUCCCCGCGUGCUGCUUAAGGCCAGGCCUGCGGUGGGCUCUGAUCAUGUUCCCCUGA
rnacentral:rRNA from 1 species